GAAUGCAUGGACUCUGUAUGACACUUGCCACCCUCUUCACUGAGCCUCAGCUUCACAUCCAUCCUGAGGAGCUUCCUGGGAUCACACCAACCUUGCAGGCUGGGAUCACACCAACCUUGCAGGCUGGCCACGAAGCAUUGGCCUGGUGUGCGAUGGAUGAGCGGAAUCUGUCCACUUGCCAUGCCUCUUGCUACAAGAGUGGGUGUCUGUCCCUAUCUAAGGCAUUCCACUGAGGGCUGCAUGCCUGCAUGCCCUGCACCUGGGGUGCCUCCCAAUACCAAAAGUGCUUGAAGGGAUGGCAUAAUACUUGCGAAAGAACCAGGCCAGCCAGUUGUACAUAUAGCCCAUGAUGGGUUUCCAUUCCUCAUGAUGGUAUAAUACAUGGUCAUCUCUCUCUAGUAUUGGAUCUCACCUUUGUGAGCCUGGGUGUCAGGGGAGGGACAUGCUUUGCUGGCCCACUGGACACAGCUUGAUGGUCAGGCAUGUAUCUGACUCAUCCUGAUCCAGAGCAACACAUCUCCCUCAGUGGGGGUUAGGAAGCCCAUCUUAGAGGAAGAAGCACCCUAUGUAGAGUCCAUGCUGCUUCGUAGUACCUGAAAUAGGUUGUCUCUGAGAUGCUUACUUUUUGGAUGCUGACAUCCUACCCUGGACCACUUCUGCUUUGAGAUGCUGAUGCCAGCAGCAGAAGCCUCUGUGUUGAUUGACACCAUAGUCUGUGUGUGAGCCUGCGCCCUGGCCUCUUACCUUCCCAGUUCUCCUCUGUUGGAAACAGCAUAGAAUGUCCCCUUGAGAGUAUGAGGCAGUGAUACCCCAGCUGUGUCCCUACCUCAAGCAGACGCGAGUCCCAGACAGGGUUUGGCCUGUACAUAACGCAUGCUUUCUCCAUCUUUGCACUCUGGCUUGCCAUAGAGGCUUGACCUGGAGAUCAGAAAGCAGCUGAUCAUGCCCAGUAGGAGCCUUGGAGACGUAGGCUAGAGACAUUUGGUAUUUAGUAAGGAUCUCCAGAGUGGCAAAGAGUUCUUUCUGAGUAGGCUUGCAUUGCCGUUCCCCCUUCCCCCUCCAAUGCAAGUAGCACCCUCACCUUGGCAGCUCUACCCUGUGGGCUUCUUCACCUCUUCUGGGUCUCCUCAUCACCAAAAUCCUCUGUGCCCACAGAGACAGUGUCUCCCUCCCCUCUCCAUCGUCACUCCCCCACAGACCUGCCCAAAGGGUAUGUGGUCUCUCUUCAGUCUCUUCCUCUUGUUCAGGAAGACCUGCCCAUGCCCCUCCCUCUGGGAGCUGGUCCUGGUUGCCUUUUCCCUACCUAGUCCAUCCCUCUUCCUCAGCCUUCAUGCUCGCACAUUCCUUUCACUGGAAUUCAGGAUUCCAAGGGGGAUGGAAUGGUCCCUGCUCAGCAGUGCCAUGGAAGGCUGGCUGGCAACAGCUAUCCAGCGCCUUCCUUUUCCACACACUAGCACUGUCUAUCAGUCUACUUGUUAGCUGUUCCUCCCAAGCUACCUGCUGUCCCAAACUGCCUAGUACAGUCUUCAUGUUCCCAGGCUUUCCAACCCCCCCCCCAAAAAAAAAAACCAAUUUCCCAGGGUAGGGACAGACCUUUACAUUUUCCUUUCUUUUUCCUUCCUCCCUCUCUUCCUCCUUCCCUCUCUCCCCUCCCUCCUUUCCCUUCCUCUUUUCUUACUUCCUUGGCUUAUCCUCUGCUGUAUUCUAAGCCUUAGGAUCCAGGCCAGGUCUAUAGUGACAGAAUAAUGAAGCGUGCUGAUUGACUAAUAGAGUCCCCAAAGGCAGAAACCAUAUUAAGUUAAUCCCCUGGAAAGUGGUGAGCAUGGAGCAGGAAUUCCAUAAGAUGUGGUGGCUGAUUCCAUAAAUAUGGAAGCUGGGUUUUGCAUAGUCUUUGUAUUUAUUAGAGGCUGUUUGAUUUUCCAGUCCCUCGCCCCCACCCCACUCCAGAACCUCACUCUUCUGAGAGUUGUUGCAACGGGGGACAGGUUAGCUAGGUCUACAGGCUUUUCUCCACUCCUGUAGCUGGGGCCCCAUGCUAGUCCUCAGAUUCAGCGGAGCACAACCCCCACCCUCCACUCCAUGAACACUUCUGUGGCGGUGAGCCAGAGGCCCCGUAGGGCCCCUGUGCAGCAGCCCUGAUCCUCUGUCAGGGCUGAUAUUUGAUGCAUGGACCUGAGUAAAUGGGAACAUUUGGAGAUGGAAAUUGCUGUUAAUGGCACAUCUUUGGAAUAUAUUAAGCGUGUGCAAGGCUGCUGCUGGUCUCCCAGUUUAAUUGUUCCAAUGUAAGCGCAGCCACACCACAGCAGCAGCAGGAAGGCCACCCCAAGUCCCUUCACCACUCGAUGGGGAAAGCCCCAGGUACCUCACCCACCAAGGGAGUAUUAUGCUUGAGACAGAAUGUCAGCUGGGAUGCCAAGCAAUCAGCAGCAUGCAUAUUCCAGACUCAACGGAGACCUGGAGAGGAUUGACCCCUCCCGCUUGAGGCAGACUUUUAUUAAAGGCAAAAUCACUAGAUUUCUCUAUUGUUUGAGGAGAAGAAAAGACAAACAAAGGAUUUUUCUCAUCCAAUGAGUCAAGUGAAAAUGUCUGUCCCCCAGGACAGCAGGCAGGCAAGAAGAAAGUCCCUGGGGGCACUUCAGGGGUCAGAGAAUUCACCAUCUCUGAGAUAGUGCAUAAACCCUGUGUGGCAAGGUCACAGAGCACAGGCCGUUUCUCUGUGCCUGGCAGAUGUUAAAGCCAAUUUGCCCAUCCCAUAGUUUCUUCUGGGUGUGACUGGACUGAAGCAGUGGUGCAUUCCUUUACUGUUUUUAAGAGGGGGGAGGUGUGUGUGUAGGGAGUAAGUACUAGCUGUCUCCAGUGAGUAUUUGUGACCAGGCAGGGGAGUAGGUUAUGUUUUACAGAAGAGGAAUUUACUAGGACUCAGAGAGUUUGAGGACUUUCCAAGAUAACCCAUCUGGAGACAGGGCUUCAGGCUAUGUGUUCUUAACAUUUCUGCUUGUGCUGGCCCAGGUACCUCUAGAAAUGACCCCAUGAGCCAUAGAUGACAAACAGCUCAUUGAAUAGGUCUCCACAUCUUUCUGCACAGUGAGGCAGGCUCACUUUUCCCAAGACAUUGCUUGCCAGGAUUGUCAAGCUUUUCUUUUUUCCCUGUUAACUUACUUGGUUCCUCUCCCAUUAACUAAGAUGCUUUCAUUCAUGUCUGCCUUAUAAUAGGGCUGCCUACUCCAUCAGAAAACCCAGGGCACUGUGGAUGUUAAAUAUCAGGCCCAAAUUGGCUGUUUUGUUUGCUUCCACUGAAGGCCUGCAUUAGCUGUCUCUGUCAUUGUGUGUGUGUGUGUGUGUGUGUGUGUGUGUGUGUGUGUGUGUGUGUGCGCACGUGCAUGUGUGCAUGUGUGUCUGUAUGUAUGUGUGAAUGAGCCUGCUGCCUCCCAUCAGAGGCUGAAGAGCUGAAUACCUCCUGGCUUGUGUGCUGGGUAGACUAGGCCAGUUCUGAAGACGUCAUUCCUCAUAGGAGUCUGGCCAGUUUCUCUUAUCACAUCUUUGAGCAGCUAAGGACUCAGGACUGUAGGAUCCUGUCCCCCUGGGGUGGGGACGUGGAGUCAGACCCACAUCUAGUGAGUUAGUGGUGUUUCUUUGUCAAGAUUUGAAAGGCUGUGAGAACCUGUGGACCCCUAGGGCUGGCUCAGAGUAGAUGCUCAGAAAAUACCUGUCUUCCUUGGAUCAAAUGGGUUUAGAUGCUAGCACAGGAGAUGAUGAAUAGACGGCUGUGAGGGGCACUCAGAGGAUGUUUGUGGAAUGAAUAAAUAAACACACACUUUUUUUUUUUUUGAAGAAAUUAAGAAACAAGGAAAGGGAGAAACAUCCAGGGCAGACAACAUAAAUCUCCAGCAAUAUUACCAACGCUCGCUACAGCUGGGGCCACUGAAAAGACCCUGUGGAGGUGGUGGGGCCAUUUGUCAUGGGCGAGGACAGGCUUGAGGGCUGGGACAUGGGGCCUGAUGGAGGCUCGUCCAUCAUUUUCUCAUUAUCCCCGCGACGUGGAGGGCAGCUAGCGCAUCGCAGAACAGCAGCCUCCAAAGGAAGGUGGCAGGGUUGGGAGUGCGAGGGACCCCGAGGGAGGGCAGGCUGCCCCAGGCCCUGCCCCCUCCAGGAAGCCUUCUCGCUCCAACCCAACACACGAUCUCACUUGCUCUCGGACGCUCAUCUUGCGAUCUUUUAUCGACGCUACUGGGAAGGGGCCGUUGGGAACUUGUCCGCAUGUGUGCCUGUGCUUGCCCAGUUUGCGUCCAGAGAAGGCGCUGUGAAUGCUUGUUGGCUUGUCUUUCCAUUGUAGACAGGUGAAUUGGAUUGGUCCUCCAAAGUAGACGUUCAGGAACUCCACCUACUUUCCAUCCACACUGCUAGUCCUAGGUUGGAACAGUCCCAUUGGGUAUGACCAUGGAACAGCUAUGGCUAUGAACAAGCCCUGAGGCCUGACCUGAAGCCGUCAGUGGGCCUGGAGCGGCUCUGCCCAUCUUUGUUACCUCUCCCUCCCUGGAUCUCCUGCUUAAGACAAUGAAGCCUUCUGACUGGAGAAGACGCCCCUCUGAGAGGACCAGGACCAUUCCGGACCCAGUGAGAUCCAGUACCCCAGCCACACCCUGUGCCAUCUGCCACUGAGCCCGCCCCCCCCAAUACCCUCUGCUUCUUACCAUUGCCCCGCCCCCCACCCCAGCCUUGCAUUUCAGAUCUCAGCGGGACCUGAGCAGCCCUUGCUUAGGAACCUGAGGUGGGGGUUGGGUAGGCAGACCCAGGGGACUGAGCAUGGGUAUAAGAAAAGAUUUCUGCUCUUGGUUUUCAAAGUCUCAAUGUGUGGAGCCCUUUGAAUAAUAAACAUAUAUCAUAAAAUGUAAA